rnacentral:rRNA from 1 species
GACGAACGCUGGCGGCGUGCUUAACACAUGCAAGUCGAACGGAAAGGCCCUGCUUGCAGGGUACUCGAGUGGCGAACGGGUGAGUAACACGUGGGUGAUCUGCCCUGCACUUCGGGAUAAGCCUGGGAAACUGGGUCUAAUACCGGAUAGGAGCCAUUUUUAGUGUGAUGGUUGGAAAGUCUUUUCGGUGUAGGAUGAGCUCGCGGCCUAUCAGCUUGUUGGUGGGGUAAUGGCCUACCAAGGCGGCGACGGGUAGCCGGCCUGAGAGGGUGGACGGCCACAUUGGGACUGAGAUACGGCCCAGACUCCUACGGGAGGCAGCAGUGGGGAAUAUUGCACAAUGGGCGCAAGCCUGAUGCAGCGACGCCGCGUGGGGGAUGACGGCCUUCGGGUUGUAAACUCCUUUCGCUAGGGACGAAGCUUUUUGUGACGGUACCUAGAUAAGAAGCACCGGCUAACUACGUG